GCGAGCUUGGCGGAAUGGUAGACGCACGAGACUUAAAAUCUCGAGUCCGUAAGGACGUGCGGGUUCGAGUCCCGCAGCUCGCACCA
rnacentral:tRNA from 4 species